rnacentral:lncRNA from 1 species
UCUGCGCUUGCUAAAACCAGUCAGAAUCAGUAAAUAACUCCACUGGCACUACUGGCACUGGGCAAAGAAAACCAGCGCCUGUGGCACCGUGGGCAAGCACUGUGUGUUUUCUUAUUGCUGUACACUGCCAUCCCAGCUAGCCUUCAGCUUACCUCAUGUCUAUCAAUCUACCAGGAAAACAGUCCAAAAUUGGAAGAUUACAAAACAGCUUGUGCCAGAUAACUAAAUUUUUCACUUCCCAGCCUGUCACAAACUGUCCGAGUUUAUUUCUGAUAUGUAUUCCCUCCGCUGUCCCAAACACGAUACAUUAAAGUUGAUGAUUCUGCUGCCUGCACGCAUCACUCAUUCUAAGUUGCAUUAGUUCAGCUCCAAUGUAUUUAAGGACUUAGCAUUAAUUAAAUACGGUUUGUACAGAUUUGUAAAUGUGAAGUGCCAUCUAAAGACUGAGUGUUAAUAAUUGUCAGGCCCUUGUGAAAAUUACUGGAGCACAUCCAUAUUUCCCCCAUCGGCCAGCCUUGAGAAGAAUGCAAAUUCUGCAUCACGAUUUAUCCAGUGGGAGAUGGAGGUGGAUCCUCUGGAGUGAUUUGGGUCCGACACCUGAGUUAGGAGCGAGCUGCAUGCUGCAUUCAGUGGUGCUGAGCACUGCAUAAUCCCCAGCCUCCCCUUCCCGUGCUUCUGCAAGUAACAGGUUGGUGCAUGUAUCACAUCUCACUCUGCACUGCUGUUGCAUCCGCUUGCCAGGCCAAAGGAAACAAAGACUAAGAAGACUGUGAGGCAGAGUGACCCUCCAGGAAGUAGUAGUGGUGGAGAGGAGAGCAAACCAAGAGCUUACUGUUAGACUUUUUCCACACUUAAGGCUCCAGAGGGGGGCCCCAGAGACGGUUGGCUGAGAUGCACAGACCAUAGGCUCCAAUGAUAUUUGGAGGGGAGCAUAACAUUGCAUUUUGGAGCCCUGAGGAUUUCUGUGGAGGCCUUGUCUCAGGGGAUGUUGCUGCAUUGUUUGACAAGUCUGUGUUUCCAGGCAAGCUGAAAUUGUUCUGCAUGGCUCCACAAGUGACCGACUAUCGCAGAAGUUACUGCGGUGUCAGAAGGCUCCCCUCCCCUACCAUUACAUCAGUAGCAUCCUCCAGAAAGCUCUAAUGGACAAGCUCUGCCCUCAGUUGAUGUCUAGUGACAGAUAAUAGCAAGGGGUAGUUAGUAAUUGUUGGAAUUGUGGUUUGGAAAACUGACUGCUGGGCUAAGCCAGGUGGCUUGAAGCUAUAGAUAUACAGAUUUCUUUGCCUCCAACAGCUGGUGAGCACGGUGCAACUCAGCUGCGGAUAUGAGAUUUUUUGCAAAAUCUUUCUUGCUUGUGUUGUUCCGGGAAUAUCAGAAAGACAUGC